AAGUCGUAACAAGGUCUCCGUAUGCUCGCUCGUAGAUGAAAAAUUACAGAGUUCUCGCCCUUCCGGGUAGAUCUCCCACCCACUGUUAUCGUUACCGUCGUUUCUUUGGCGGGCCGCCGGGCCCUGCUCGGCCGCCGGCCCCGGCUGGCGCGUGCCCGCCAGAGGCCCUUCAAACUCUGAAUGUUAGUGUCGUCUGAGUACUAUACAAUAGUUAAAACUUUCAACAACGGAUCUCUUGGUUCUAUGCUCGCUGAUAGUGCCAGCGAAAUGCGAUAAGUAAUGCGAAUAUGCUCGCUGUAGAUGCUCGUCGGUCUUUGAACGCACAUUGCGCCCUGUGGUAUUCCGCAGGGCAUGCCUGUUCGAGCGUCAUUUCAACCAUGCUCGCUGAUAGUGCUCGUGCCCUGCCCGUUGCGGCCGGCCCUAAAGUCAGUGGCGGCGCCGUCCGGCUCUAAGCGUAGUACAUCUCUCGCUCUAGGGCCCCGCGGUGGCUUGCCAGCAACCAUGCUCGCUCGGGAUCAGGUAGGGAUACCCGCUGAACUUAAAUGCGCGCUCGUAGAUGAUGCUCGCUGAUGAUCGUCGCUGAUAGUCGCUGUAGAGUCGCUCGU
rnacentral:rRNA from 1 species